rnacentral:lncRNA from 1 species
CGCUACAACACGUGGGAAUUGGUUUUCCCUAACAACCAAGAAAACCAAGACUUUGAAUGCCAUGGAAAAAAAAAUGUAUCAAACGCCUAAAGUUGAAAAAUCCAAUUACAAUUCCACCCUAUCAAACACACCUGUACAUCAAUGCAAUUCCAUGGCAAUGGCCGGUAAAAAAAAAAAAAAAAAUUAUUGCAUGGCAAUGGAAACUUGGUGAGAAUUACUUGGGAUUCUGCAAAUCCAGCUAUUGUGAUAAUUUCAGGGAAGACACAUUCAGUCAAAGUCCAAUGACUGCAAUAAAUUGUAUACAUCACAAAUGCUUGCUCGAAUAUUGAAUCAGUCUUCAAGACAUGUGCUUAGAUCCUACAAGCCAAAUCCAUAGGUAGAAACCAAUUCACUGACUUGCACUCAACUGAAAACUCAUCAUUUAGUGAAGGUUCUCUAUUGGGACUUGUAAUUAGAUUACGAAAUAGUCAAAUUUUGGGUCAUAAACUAGAUUAUGUUAACAUGCAUAAAGACAAUUAACAUGUGCGACAGUGCAGUAGUAAUAUAUUUUCCUUCAUCCCAUCUUCGUCAUUAAACUGGAAAGGAGGUUGGUUAACGAAAGUUACCUGAUAAGCUGAACAACUUAACAAUGUAGAACACGAGGCCGUCAAAUUCCAACUGGAUUCCGAAUUCAGAGUAAGCAAAGUGGAACUUGCAAUUUUUGAGCAGCACUAGAUGGUAAAUACUAACCGAAAGUGCAUAUAUCGUGUUGAGAAAAUGAUACCAAGAUUCUCUCUCUCUCCCUUCCCCCUUUUUUUUCAUUUGAAG